rnacentral:lncRNA from 1 species
GGGUUCCCACUGCCAUCCCGGUUAGGUGGAUAGUUGUUUUGGUACUGUGGCUGCUGCAUUCCACCACCCUGCUGCUGCUGGUAGUUAUUGUUGUUACCUGACCAUCCUGCAUUUGGUGGACCUCCUCCUCCCAUGUUGUUCUGCGGUGGUGGUCCUCCAUAGUUCGGUGGAGGCGCUCCUCCGUAGUUUGGUGGUGGUGCUCCUCCCAUGUUGUUUUGUGGUGGCGUUCCUCCGUAGUUUGGUGGUGGUGGUCCUCCAUAGUUCGGUGGUGGUGGUGGUGCCCCUCCGUAGUUUGCUGGAGGCCUCUGUCCUCCCAUAUUGUUAUGUGGCGGUGGUGGUCCUCCAUAGUUUGGUGGAGGCCUUUGUCCAUAAUUCUGCCCCAUGGGAGGUGGAGGGGGUGCAGAGCCACCCAUGUGAGGUGGAGGAGGGCCACCCAUGGGAGGACGUUGAGGAGGAGGGCCUCCUGCCAUGUUCUCUCUUCUCCUCUCAAAGUUUCUGCUUCUAUCAAAGUUUUUAGGACGGUCAUUGCGCCUGUUUCUUUCAUUGGCUCUAGCGUUGUUCCUUAU